rnacentral:sRNA from 1 species
CUUUCCUUGACUAAAAUGUCUUUUUAAAAAUUCUAAAGCAUAUUUAAUUUAAAUUUUCAAACCUAACACUUCAUUUUUGGCUACUUAUUAGGGAAAGUUAUACAAAAAUUUCAAAAAUACAUCCCCCACCACCAUAGAAUGGACAACUUUUUCGCACUGACUUUUGUUGUGGGCUGUCUGGUUGGAUUUUUAUUCGGCAAACACCAUAAGUAAAACGAUAAGCUCCAAGAGAUAACAUUCUCUUGCUGGAGCCUAUAAGUAUUGUACUUCUUAUACACGAAAAUGGAUGUGGACUUUCUGAUAACCUUCUUAGUUGGCUUGUUGGUGGGAUACAUAAUAGCCAAACACGCAUAAUCCAACUUGGAAUGGACCAAAGAGCCCCUUGAAAAUAUUGUUCAAAAUUCACUUGCUUGGUUAAGGUCAACAUCUGGAUAUUGCUCCCAUUCUCCAGGGCAUAUCAUAUUCUGGACAUUUUCCGCCAUAAUAUAAAUCUUCAGGUUCAGAAUCCAGAAAGCAAAAUGACUCACGUAAUCUCCUUUGCCUUGGGGAUAAUCAUUGGAAUGAUGUCUUGCCGAAAAUGUUAAACUGAGCUGGCAACUGUCACAUCUAUACAAUUUUCUUGGAGCUACAAGUUUUACUCUCAACUUAUACGAAAUGGAUUUGGACUGGGUCAUAACGUUUGUAGUUGGAAUUUUGGUUGGAUACUUAUUAGCCAAGAAUACCUAAACAAUCCCGAAAUAGAUGGAUCGAAGUGCACUUGGAAAAUAUUUUUAAAAUUUAUUUUGCUUGGCGAGGGUCAACAUCUGUUUAUCUCACACUCUCCUAAGCCUAUCAAGUCCAGACUCCAACAACGCAAGUCAGUCAGGAUCAACAGGAUCAAGCAGCAGGAAGAAAAAUGACUCCCGUAAUCUCCUUCGCCUUGGGUGUAAUAGUUGGAAUGCUGAGUUGCCGAAAAUGUUGACCUGAGCCGUUUAUUGACCGAGCUUAAUUGGAAAAAUUUCUAAAGUUGACAUGAAUAAAUAAACACUGAAAAGUGCUUAAAAUA